rnacentral:rRNA from 1 species
GUGCCAGCAGCCGCGGUAAUACGAAGGGUGCAAGCGUUACUCGGAAUUACUGGGCGUAAAGCGUGCGUAGGUGGUGGUUUAAGUCUGUCGUGAAAGCCCUGGGCUCAACCUGGGAAUUGCGAUGGAUACUGGAUCACUAGAGUGUGGUAGAGGGAUGCGGAAUUUCCGGUGUAGCAGUGAAAUGCGUAGAGAUCGGAAGGAACAUCUGUGGCGAAGGCGGCAUCCUGGGCCAACACUGACACUGAGGCACGAAAGCGUGGGGAGCAAACAGGAUUAGAUACCCUCGUAGUCC